UUACGACCAUAUCACGUUAAGACACCGAUUCUCGUACGAUCACCGAAGUUAAGAAAACGAUGAGCCUGAUCAGCACCUAGGUGGGCGACCGCUUAGGAAUACCAGGUGUUGUAAG